rfam:Zancudomyces culisetae strain COL-18-3 scaffold-125, whole genome shotgun sequence.
UUACUUACCUGGCGUCGCUAUUCAGUGAUCAUGAAGGCUGGAUAGCUGGGGAGGAUCCCUAGCAUUGCACACCGCUUGGGGAACCUCACUGCGAACGCUCAUAUUCUGGGUGUCUCGGACGUAAAAUUUUUGCUUGAAGGGGGUUUGGACUCUCUA